CCCGCUGUCCCCAUAGCGCGGACGGUCUCUGCUGCGGUCCCUGCCCACUGGCGCCACCGGUCCAGCAGGAGCGGCCGGAGGACCGUCCACGGCGGCGCUGCGCCAGCACCCCGUCUCCACCCACUCGGGGUCUUCUCCGUGGGUGGGCUUCGGUGCUGCCACGUGACUUCCACGAAGAGCGGGGGCCCUUAGCGGAAAGCAGCGACUUGGGUGGGAUCCUGG
rnacentral:lncRNA from 1 species